rnacentral:piRNA from 1 species
UGGAGGACCUGGCCCGCAAGGACUACC